rnacentral:rRNA from 1 species
AUACGUAGGGGGCGAGCGUUGUCCGGAAUGGUUGGGCGUAAAGGGCGCGUAGGCGGCGCGGUAAGUCUGGAGUGAAAGUCCUGCUUUCAAGGUGGGAAUUGCUUUGGAUACUGCCGCGCUUGAGUGCAGGAGAGGUUAUCGGAAUUCCCGGUGUAGCGGUGAAAUGCGUAGAGAUCGGGAGGAACACCAGUGGCGAAGGCGGGUAACUGGACUGCAACUGACGCUGAGGCGCGAAAGUGUGGGGAGCAAACAGGAUUAGAUACCCUGGUAGCCCACACUGUAAACGAUGAAUGCUAGGUGUAAGAGGUAUCGACCCCUUUUGUGCCGGAGUCAACACAAUAAGCAUUCCGCCUGGGGAGUACGGCCGCAAGGUUGAAACUCAAAGGAAUUGACGGGG